GUUUGCAGGUUAUCCCGUGGCCUGAGUGGUAGAAGCAAAGCUACUGCUAGUCACUAUUUGUGGUGACAUCUUCAAAUUGCGUGAAACCCGUCAUAAAGCUUCAAGUACCACUUCAACUGAGAAAUCUUUUGAAGGAACAGAGGUAACUCCUCUUCCCAAUGGUAACAAGCUUGAAGACACGGCGGCAAUGCGCAGCCAAGCUCCUAAGUAUUUAAAUAUACUCGUAAGGAGAAGGUUCAGAGAGCAGACGGAGAUGGGCGGUAAUUUAUCUGCUUAAGGUGUGCUCCAGCCUCUUUCGAAAGAUUGAG
rnacentral:ncRNA from 1 species